UACGUAGGGGGCAAGCGUUGUUCGGAAUUACUGGGCGUAAAGGGCGCGUAGGCGGCACAGCAAGUCGGGAGUGAAAGCCCGGGGCUCAACCCCGGAAUGGCUUUCGAAACUGCUGAGCUAGAGUACAGAAGGGGCAACCGGAAUUCCCAGUGUAGCGGUGAAAUGCGUAGAUAUUGGGAAGAACACCUGAGGCGAAGGCGGGUUGCUGGGCUGAUACUGACGCUGAGGCACGAAGGCCAGGGGAGCAAACGGG
rnacentral:rRNA from 1 species